rnacentral:rRNA from 1 species
GAUGAACGCUGGCGGCGUGCCUAAUACAUGCAAGUCGAGCGAACGGACGAGAAGCUUGCUUCUCUGAUGUUAGCGGCGGACGGGUGAGUAACACGUGGAUAACCUACCUAUAAGACUGGGAUCACUUCGGGAAACCGUAGCUAAUACCGGAUAAUAUUUUGAACCGCAUGGUUCAAAAGUGAAAGACGGUCUUGCUGUCACUUAUAGAUGGAUCCGCGCUGCAUUAGCUAGUUGGUAAGGUAACGGCUUACCAAGGCAACGAUGCAUAGCCGACCUGAGAGGGUGAUCGGCCACACUGGAACUGAGACAGGGUCCGGACGCCUACGGGAGGCAGCAGUAGGGAAUCUUCGGCAAUGGGCGAAAGCCUAACGGAGCAACGCCGCGGGAGGGAUGAGGUUCUUCGGAUCGUAAAAUUCUGUUAUUGGGGAGGAACAUAUGUGUAAGUAAAUGUGCACAUCUUGACGGUACCUAAUCAGAAAGCCACGGCUAACUACGUG